CUACCUACGGGAGGCAGCAGUGGGGAAUAUUGCACAAUGGGGGAAACCCUGAUGCAGCGACGCCGCGUGAGUGAAGAAGUAAUUCGUUACGUAAAGCUCUAUCAGCAGGGAAGAGAAUGACGGUACCUGACUAAGAAGCCCCGGCUAACUACGUGCCAGCAGCCGCGGUAAUACGUAGGGGGCAAGCGUUAUCCGGAUUUACUGGGUGUAAAGGGAGCGUAGACGGCAUGGCAAGUCUGAUGUGAAAACCCGGGGCUCAACCCCGGGACUGCAUUGGAAACUGUCAGGCUAGAGUGUCGGAGAGG
rnacentral:rRNA from 1 species